rnacentral:rRNA from 1 species
AUUGAACGCUGGCGGCAGGCCUAACACAUGCAAGUCGAACGAGUGGCGGACUGGUGAGUAAUGUCUGGGAAACUGCCUGAUGGAGGGGGAUAACUACUGGAAACGGUAGCUAAUACUGCAUACUAUCAGAUGUGCCCAGAUGGGAUUAGCUUGUUGGUGGGGUAACGGCUAACCAAGGCGACGAUCCCUAGCUGGUCUGAGAGGCUGACCAGCCACACUGGGACUGAGACACGGGCCAGACUCCUACGGGAGGCAGCAGUGGGGAAUAUUGCGCAAUGGGCGCAAGCCUGAUGCAGCCAUGCCGCGUGUAUGAAGAAGGCCUUCGGGUUGUAAAGUACUUUCAGCGGGGAGGCGUUACCCGCAGAAGAAGCACCGGCUAACUCCGUGCCAGCAGCCGCGGUAAUUC